rnacentral:sRNA from 1 species
GCAAUAGAACGGUAGACUCAAGGGUGGUUGGCAUUUACCCCGUACAGAAAGGGGGUGUGCCGAUGACAGUAUUCGAAGCGUUAAUGUUUGCAAUCAGUUUUUCAAGCCUUAUAAUUACAAUGCUGUCAAAUCCGCAAAAAAAAUAAUCCACCCUUGAGCUGAUAGCAGUGGUGGAUUAUUUUUUACCUCCUGCCUGAUCCCCUUGAAGGGAACCGUCUGUUGCAGGGCCAAGGGUGUCGCAGCACCUUUG